AAAAGACAUCAAUAAACAAACAAAAACAAAAACUGAUGGCAAUCAAGCUCGAGGGCAGUUUUUCUUUUUGAAGUGUUUUUUGAAAGUGUAUUGAAGUUUUUUGUUUUGUCCUCCUCACUCGUCAUCGGUG
rnacentral:ribozyme from 14 species